GGAAGUGACUGGAUGUGGAGAGGAGUGUAUCCGCGAAGGAACGCACAAGUGGCCUGACCUGCAGAAGAACGCUAGCUAGGCACUAGGCAUGCCGGCAAGGUCAGCUGAGAGCUGACCCCAGUGCAACGUGGAGGAGUUUGGUUGGGGCAGUCGGAGGAGCACCUGGGCCGCCAAGCGGCCAGACUUCGGGGGAAAGCCAUCUCUCUUCUGGCGCCUUUAUCGGCAGAGAGCUACUUGUACUCAAAACCUUGCACUCAUUCUCCAAGCCCACGUGGGUAAGAUUCACCCACACUGCGGAGGGCGUCGGAGCUCCACAGCCUGCCUGUCUGUAUGCUCCCAUAGAGGUUUGAGCAGCGGGGCACUGGAGAAGCAAGUCACACCCCCAUUGCACGCCAUGGGAGUAGGACAAGGCAAAUUAAAAAGAGGAGAAAAACCCCUCAAUGUACAUGUGUAAAAAGACUUCGAGAUUAUUUCUCAAAAGUUGUUGAAACCUUUUUUAGGUUUGGAUUUGCUAAACAACAGGGUGCGAAUUCAAACACAGGCAGGAACAUUUCCCUGACUUCUUUAAAAAAAAUGCUUUGAGAUGUUAUGUGAUAUGCACCAGCACUUCAGAAAAAUCCUGCCAAGGAAGCCCUGAUUGACUGCAGUGGUGUUAGGCCGCUCUCUGCUUGUCGGGUUGCCUGAUUGAGAACUGGCCCUAGUAGACUGCUAUGCACCAAAAUAGUCUGUUCUAACGGAAGACCUCUGUUUGCCACUGGCACAUAAACAGGAGAGAGGGUGAGAUGCCAGCUUCGAUUGUCAAAUGUGGUGGGGCCUGUGGAAAGAAUUAACUUCCUUGGAGUUCACGUUUUGCAAGAUUGAGCCAUCCAGCACACGAGGGAAACAAGAAGAGCCACGUGGGAGUGCAAAGGCUCCAAUUGCCAGCCACGUCGCUUCUAAAUGUGAACGCUCUGGUUGAGUAGGACAAGGCGGCAAGUUGAGUGAGUCUGAACAUUUAGGAGAGACAGCCUGAUGUGGAGGGAGAAACGGGACACCAAGGCCAAGCCAAUUACCCACCCAGGCAGAGGGAAGGUGACUCGAGACCCCUGCCUGCCUUUUGGGGGGUGUUAUGGGGAUCAAAUGAGAUUAUGACUACAGAAUCAUUUUGGGAUCUUUCUUUGAAUUUUAAACUAAUGAAAUCAUAUUCUUCCCCUUAGGGAGGGGAUAAAAUCAAUAAAUGAAUAGUUUUCAUUUUCCUAGAAUGGUUCAAAAUUCGGCUUGAGAUUCUACCAUGUUCUUUCAGUUCUCACACCUUAACUGAUCUCUCACAUAACUGCCCAUCAAAUGUAUCAUGCUGAUCCAUCCAUCCUAUGCCUGGAUUAAGGUCCAUCAAACCCUUUAAUUUGAAUUCCCAUUAACUUUAAAAAGAUA
rnacentral:lncRNA from 10 species